rnacentral:rRNA from 1 species
ACGGGUGAGUAAUGUCUGGGGAUCUGCCCGAUAGAGGGGGAUAACCACUGGAAACGGUGGCUAAUACCGCAUAACGUCGCAAGACCAAAGAGGGGGACCUUCGGGCCUCUCACUAUCGGAUGAACCCAGAUGGGAUUAGCUAGUAGGCGGGGUAAUGGCCCACCUAGGCGACGAUCCCUAGCUGGUCUGAGAGGAUGACCAGCCACACUGGAACUGAGACACGGUCCAGACUCCUACGGGAGGCAGCAGUGGGGAAUAUUGCACAAUGGGCGCAAGCCUGAUGCAGCCAUGCCGCGUGUAUGAAGAAGGCCUUCGGGUUGUAAAGUACUUUCAGCGGGGAGGAAGGCGAUGUGGUUAAUAACCGCGUCGAUUGACGUUACCCGCAGAAGAAGCACCGGCUAACUCCGUGCCAGCAGCCGCGGUAAUACGGAGGGUGCAAGCGUUAAUCGGAAUUACUGGGCGUAAAGCGCACGCAGGCGGUCUGUUAAGUCAGAUGUGAAAUCCCCGGGCUUAACCUGGGAACUGCAUUUGAAACUGGCAGGCUUGAGUCUCGUAGAGGGGGGUAGAAUUCCAGGUGUAGCGG